GAUGAACGCUGGCGGCGUGCCUAAUACAUGCAAGUCGAGCGAACAGACGAGGAGCUUGCUCCUCUGACGUUAGCGGCGGACGGGUGAGUAACACGUGUAUAACCUACCUAUAAGACUGGGAUAACUUCGGGAAACCGGAGCUAAUACCGGAGAAUAUAUUGAACCGCAUGGUUCAAUAGUGAAAGACGGUUUUGCUGUCACUUAUAGAUGGAUCCCCGCCGCAUUAGCUAGUUGGUAAGGUAACGGCUUACCAAGGCAACGAGGCGUAGACGACCUGAGAGGGUGAUCGGCGACCCUGGAACUGGGACGCGGUCCAGGCUCCUGCGGGAGGCAGCAGUAGGGAACCUUCCGCAAUGGGCGAAAGCAUGACGGAGCAACGCCGCGUGAGUGAUGAAGGUCUUCGGAUCGUAAAGCUCUGUUAUGAGGGAAGAACAAAUGUGUAAGUAACUAUGCACGUCUUGACGGUACCUAGUCAGAAAGCCCCGGCUAACUACGUG
rnacentral:rRNA from 1 species